UCCGGUUUGUCACCGGCAGUCAUCCUAGAGUGCCCACCCGGAGUGCUGGCAACUAAGAUCAAGGGUUGCGCUCGUUGCGGGACUUAACCCAACAUCUCACAACACGAGCUGACGACAACCAUGCACCACCUGUGUAGGGCCCCGAAGGACACCGUAUCUCUACGGCUUUUCCCUACAUGUCAAGCCCAGGUAAGGUUCCUCGCGUAUCAUCGAAUUAAACCACAUGCUCCACCGCUUGUGCGGGCCCCCGUCAAUUCCUUUGAGUUUCAUUCUUGCGAACGUACUCCCCAGGUGGGUUACUUAUCACUUUCGCUUAGCCACUCAGUCUUACGACCAAACAGCUAGUAACCAUCGUUUACGGCGUAGACUAC
rnacentral:misc_RNA from 1 species